rnacentral:tRNA from 1 species
GGGGAUGUAGCUCAAUUGUAGAGUGUUUACCUAGCAUGUGUAAAGCCCUGGGUUUGAUUCCUAGUACUCCA